GACGAACGCUGGCGGCGUGCUUAACACAUGCAAGUCGAACGGAAAGGCCCUGCUUGCAGGGUACUCGAGUGGCGAACGGGUGAGUAACACGUGGGUGAUCUGCCCUGCACUUCGGGAUAAGCCUGGGAAACUGGGUCUAAUACCGGAUAUGACCUUCCAUGUAGUGUGGGGGGUGGAAAGAUUUAUCGGUGUGGGAUGAGCCCGCGGCCUAUCAGCUUGUUGGUUGGGUAAUGGCCUACCAAGGCGUCGACGGGUAGCCGGCCUGAGAGGGUGGACGGCCACAUUGGGACUGAGAUACGGACCAGACUCCUACGGGAGGCAGCAGUGGGGAAUAUUGCACAAUGGGCGGAAGCCUGAUGCAGCGACGCCGCGUGGGGGAUGACGGCCUUCGGGUUGUAAACCUCUUUCGACAGGGACGAAGCUUCGGUGACGGUACCUGUAUAAGAAGCACCGGCUAACUACGUG
rnacentral:rRNA from 1 species